rnacentral:rRNA from 1 species
CAGUCGCCGCGGGAAUACGGAGGGUGCAAGCGUUAAUCGGAAUUACUGGGCGUAAAGCGUGCGUAGGCGGCUUUUUAAGUCGGAUGUGAAAUCCCUGAGCUUAACUUAGGAAUUGCAUUCGAUACUGGGAAGCUAGAGUAUGGGAGAGGAUGGUAGAAUUCCAGGUGUAGCGGUGAAAUGCGUAGAGAUCUGGAGGAAUACCGAUGGCGAAGGCAGCCAUCUGGCCUAAUACUGACGCUGAGGUACGAAAGCAUGGGGAGCAAACAGGAUUAGAUACCCGCGUAGUCCCUGUCUCUUAUAC